rnacentral:rRNA from 1 species
UACGGGGGGGAGCAAGCGUUGUUCGGAUUUACUGGGCGUAAAGGGCGCGUAGGCGGCCACCGCAAGUCGGUUGUGAAAUCUCCGGGCUUAACCCGGAAAGGUCAAUCGAUACUGCGGGGCUAGAGUGCAGAAGGGGCAACUGGAAUUCUCGGUGUAGCGGUGAAAUGCGUAGAUAUCGCUUGGAACGCCGAAGGUGAAAACAGACUGCUGGGGUUGCGCCGACGCUGAGACACGAAAGCCAGGGGAGCAAACGGG